UACGGAAGGCAGCAGUGGGGAAUAUUGCACAAUGGGCGCAAGCCUGAUGCAGCCAUGCCGCGUGUAUGAAGAAGGCCUUCGGGUUGUAAAGUACUUUCAGUCGUGAGGAAGGUGUUAAGGUUAAUAACCUUAGCAAUUGACGUUAGCGACAGAAGAAGCACCGGCUAACUCCGUGCCAGGCAGCCGCGGUAAUACGGAGGGUGCGAGCGUUAAUCGGAAUUACUGGGCGUUAAAGGGCACGCAGGCGGUUAAUUAAGUUGGAUGUGAAAUCCCCGGGCUUAACCUGGGAAUGGCAUUCAAGACUGGUUAGCUAGAGUCUUGUAGAGGGGGUAGAAUUCCAUGUGUAGCGGUGAAAUGCGUAGAGAUGUGGAGGAAUACCGGUGCGAAGGCGGCCCCUGGACAAAGACUGACGCUCAUGUGCGAAAGCGUGGGGAGCAAAC
rnacentral:rRNA from 1 species